GCCUGCUGCAGGCCUAACACAUGCAAGUCGAGCGAACUCUUCGGAGUUAGCGGCGGACGGGUUAGUAACGCGUGGGAAUAUGCCCUUUGGUUGGGAACAACAGCUGGAAACGGCUGCUAAUACCCGAUGAGCCCUACGGGGGAAAGAUUUAUCGCCAAAGGAUUAGCCCGCGUUGGAUUAGGUAGUUGGUGGGGUAAUGGCCUACCAAGCCGACGAUCCAUAGCUGGUUUGAGAGGACGAUCAGCAACACUGGGACUGAGACACGGCCCAGACUCCUACGGGAGGCAGAAGUGGGGAAUCAUAGACAAUGGGCGCAAGCCUGAUCUUGCCAUGCCGCGUGAGCGAUGACGGCCUUAGGGUUGUAAAGCUCUUUCACUGGUGAAGAUAAUGACGGUAGCCAGAGAAGAAGCCCCGGCUAACUCCGUGCCAGCAGCCGCGGUAAUACGGAGGGGGCUAGCGUUGUUCGGAAUUACUGGGCGUAAAGCGCGCGUAGGCGGACUGUUAAGUCGGGGGUGAAAUCCCGGGGCUCAACCCCGGAACUGCCUUCGAUACUGGCAGUCUAGAGAUCGAGAGAGGUGAGUGGAAUGUCGAGUGUAGAGGUGAAAUUCGUAGAUAUUCGACGGAACACCAGUGGCGAAGGCGGCUCACUGGCUCGAUACUGACGCUGAGGUGCGAAAGUGUGGGGAGCAAACAGGAUUAGAUACCCUGGUAGUCCACACCGUAACGAUGAAUGCCAGACGUCGGGGGGCAUGCCCUUUCGUGUCGCAGCUAACGCAUUAGCAUUCCGCCUGGGAGUACGCCGCAAGUUAAAACUCAAGGAAUUGACGAGGCG
rnacentral:rRNA from 1 species